GACCAGGAAUCAACUGGCAACCCUUUGGUGCACUGAUUGACGCCCAACCAAGCCACAUGGGCCAGGGCUGUAAAGUUUGUUGCCCUCCAGAAGAAUAUAUACCUACUGAGAAGAUAGAAGACUUACUUUCAUCAUCUGAAUCAAAUCCAAAGAGUGCCUGACAUUUCUUUUGUGCAAGCCCAGUACAUACAACUAUUAAAUCUAAGGGUGGACUGGCUACUGUCAUGAAGAUAUGCACAGUCUGCCCAACCAGGCAUGGCUCAGCGGUUGAGCAUCAACCUAGAAUCCAGGAGAUCAUGGUUCGAU